CAGUCGCCGCGGGAAUACAGAGGGUGCGAGCGUUAAUCGGAUUUACUGGGCGUAAAGCGUGCGUAGGCGGCUAAUUGAGUCGGAUGUGAAAUCCCCGAGCUUAACUUGGGAAUUGCAUUCGAUACUGGUUAGCUAGAGUGUGGGAGAGGAUGGUAGAAUUCCAGGUGUAGCGGUGAAAUGCGUAGAGAUCUGGAGGAAUACCGAUGGCGAAGGCAGCCAUCUGGCCUAAUACUGACGCUGAGGUACGAAAGCAUGGGGAGCAAACAGGAUUAGAUACCCGCGUAGUCCCUGUCUCUUAUAC
rnacentral:rRNA from 1 species